ACGCUGGCGGCGUGCUUAACACAUGCAAGUCGAACGAUGAAGCCCAGCUUGCUGGGUGGAUUAGUGGCGAACGGGUGAGUAACACGUGAGUAACCUGCCCUUGACUCUGGGAUAAGCGUUGGAAACGACGUCUAAUACCGGAUACGAGCUUCCACCGCAUGGUGAGUUGCUGGAAAGAAUUUUGGUCAAGGAUGGACUCGCGGCCUAUCAGCUUGUUGGUGAGGUAACGGCUCACCAAGGCGACGACGGGUAGCCGGCCUGAGAGGGUGACCGGCCACACUGGGACUGAGACACGGCCCAGACUCCUACGGGAGGCAGCAGUGGGGAAUAUUGCACAAUGGGCGAAAGCCUGAUGCAGCAACGCCGCGUGAGGGACGACGGCCUUCGGGUUGUAAACCUCUUUUAGCAGGGAAGAAGCGAAAGUGACGGUACCUGCAGAAAAAGCACCGGCUAACUACGUGCCAGCAGCCGCGGUAAUACGUAGGGUGCAAGCGUUGUCCGGAAUUAUUGGGCGUAAAGAGCUCGUAGGCGGUUUGUCGCGUCUGCUGUGAAAUCCCGAGGCUCAACCUCGGGUCUGCAGUGGGUACGGGCAGACUAGAGUGCGGUAGGGGAGAUUGGAAUUCCUGGUGUAGCGGUGGAAUGCGCAGAUAUCAGGAGGAACACCGAUGGCGAAGGCAGAUCUCUGGGCCGCUACUGACGCUGAGGAGCGAAAGGGUGGGGAGCAAAC
rnacentral:rRNA from 1 species